rnacentral:tRNA from 1 species
GCCCAGAUAGCUCAGUCGGUAGAGCAGGGAACUGAAAAUCCCCGUGUCGGUGGUUCGAUGCCGCCUCUGGGCACCA